rnacentral:rRNA from 1 species
AGUCAUAUGCUUGUCUCAAAGAUUAAGCCAUGCAUGUCUCAGUACAAGCCAAAUUAAGGUGAAACCGCGAAAGGCUCAUUAAAUCAGUUAUGGUUCCUUAGAUUGUACCCACAUUUACUUGGAUAACUGUGGUAAUUCUAGAGCUAAUACAUGCAAACAGAACUCUGACCGGAGACGGAAAGAGUGCUUUUAUUAGAUCAAAACCAAUCGGUGACGGGCUUGCUCGUCAUCGUAUAACUUGGUGACUCUGAAUAACUUGCUGAUCGCACGGUCUCGCACCGGCGACGCAUCUUUCAAAUGUCUGCCUUAUCAACUGUCGAUGGUAGGUUCUGCGCCUACCAUGGUUGUAACGGGUAACGGGGAAUCAGGGUUCGAUUCCGGAGAGGGAGCCUGAGAAACGGCUACCACAUCCAAGGAAGGCAGCAGGCGCGCAAAUUACCCACUCCCGGCACGGGGAGGUAGUGACGAAAAAUAACGAUACGGGACUCAUCCGAGGCCCCGUAAUCGGAAUGAGUACACUCUAAAGCCUUUAACAAGGAUCAAAUGGAGGGUAAGUCUGGUGCCAGCAGCCGCGGUAAUUCCAGCUCCAUUAGCGUAU